GCCUUCUUAGCUCAGUUGGCAGAGCAGCUCAUUCGUAAUGAGCAGGUCGCGGGUUCGACUCCCGUGGAAGGCU
rnacentral:tRNA from 1 species